UACAGAGGUCUCAAGCGUUGUUCGGAUUCAUUGGGCGUAAAGGGCUCGUAGGCGGUCUGUCACGUCGGGAGUGAAAACUCAGGGCUUAACCCUGAGCCUGCUUCCGAUACGGGCAGACUAGAGGUAUGCAGGGGAGAACGGAAUUCCUGGUGUAGCGGUGAAAUGCGCAGAUAUCAGGAGGAACACCGGUGGCGAAGGCGGUUCUCUGGGCAUUACCUGACGUGAGGAGCGAAAGUGUGGGGAGCGAACAGG
rnacentral:rRNA from 1 species